rnacentral:rRNA from 1 species
UACGACUACAUAUCAGGCAUAUCAAUAAGCGGAGGAAAAGAAACUAACUAGGAUUCCCUCAGUAACGGCGAGUGAAGCGGGAAGAGCUCAAAUUUGAAAUCUUCAAGGUUUUACCUUGACGAAUUGUAGUUUAAAGAAGUGUUUUCUGUUGGUGUUUUGGUAAAAGUUCUUUGGAAUAGGACAUCAUAGAGGGUGAGAAUCCCGUAUUUGACCAUUACUUCCAGCGUUGUGAUACACUUUCAAAGAGUCGGAUUGUUUGGGAAUGCAGUCCAAAAUGGGUGGUAAAUUUCAUCUAAAGCUAAAUAUUGGCGAGAGGCCGAUAGCGAACAAGUACCGUGAGGGAAAGAUGAAAAGAACUUUGAAAAGAGAGUUAAACAGUACGUGAAAUUGUCAAAAGGGAAGCGUUUGACACCAGUGUUGUUUUCUCGAAAAUCAAUUAAAAAGUAUGGGAUUUUGUAUUGUUAAGACCUUAUCAGCUUACGGUACUUUUUUCUUAUUCUUUUUAAUGCACUUUUCGUUUAACAAGUCAACAUCAAUUUCUUUUGUUGUAAAACGAGUAAUAGGAAGGUGGCUUUCACUUCGGCUGCAAGUGUUUAUAGCCUUUGACUUCUGCAAUCGGAGAGAUUGAGGUCUGCAGCGUAGAUCCUUCGGGGUUAGAUACGUAGAUGCUAAGUUAUAGUUUUUCAUAGACAACUUGUUGACUAUGAUUAAUCAUGUAGCUUACUCGUUUGCGCUAUUUUACCUACGCUUAGGAUGUUGAAUCUGUGCGAGACUAC